AGAAAUAUGUCCGAAAAGUGUCAAAAUGCCCCUUUGACAUUGUCAUUCCCUGUGUGGAGGGGCGUGUGUGUGCGUGUGAGUGGUUGUGUUUGUGUGUGUGUCUCUUGUAGGUAAGUGGUUCAGCAAACAAAUUUUCUUGUGUUCUAGUACUAACUGGACGGCGCGCCUUUGGUGGCCGUGCCCGCCCCCACACCCGCCCCCGCACCUGAGCCCGCCCCUAACCAUGUAUUCUGGGAGGAUGUAGAGUUACCAGGGGGUGAUUUCUACGUCGAGGAACAUGAGGCGACACUCAGGGUCAAAGCCCUAGCGAGUAUGAAGAAGAAAGAGAAGAAAGUACUUAAGAAAGUUAGGAAAGUCAAGCCUUAACACUGCAAUUAUUUUUUUUUAAUGUUCAUUUGUGAUUCUUAAUGUGAUCGUGUCAUCUUCAUCUCUCUAGGGUUUUGUUUUACCACUCACAAUUUUUUUUACCAAUCAUCACCUCAUCCUUAGAGAGUAUCGUUUCACCUCCUUUUUUUGUAUAUAUGUGAUUUUUGUCUAUGAUCAACCUUUUUUUUUUUUUUUUUUUUUAUGUGAUUGGCCCAUAAGGCCUUUGCUCAUAAUGGGCAAUAAAUAUUUUUAAAGUUCAU